rnacentral:rRNA from 1 species
AGCGGAGGAAAAGAAACUAACAAGGAUUCCCCUAGUAACUGCGAGUGAACCGGGAAAAGCUCAAAUUUUGAAUCUGGCGGUCUUCAGGCCGUCCGAGUUGUAAUCUAGAGAAGCGUCUUCCGCGCUGGACCGUGUAUAAGUUUCCUGGAAUGGAACGUCGUAGAGGGUGAGAAUCCCGUCUUUGACACGGACUGCCAGGGCUAUGUGAUGCGCUCUCGACGAGUCGAGUUGUUUGGGAAUGCAGCUCAAAUAGGGUGGUAAAUUCCAUCUAAAGCUAAAUACAGGCGAGAGACCGAUAGCGAACAAGUACCGUGAGGGAAAGAUGAAAAGAACUUUGGAAAGAGAGUUAAACAGUACGUGAAAUUGCUGAAAGGGAAACGCUUGAUGUCAGUCGCGUCGGCCGGGGAUCAGCCUUGCUCUUUUGCUCGGUGUAUUUCCUGGCAGACGGGUCAGCAUCGGUUUUGACCGUCGGAAAAUGGCUGGAGGAAUGUGGCACUCCUCGGAGUGUGUUAUAGACUCUGGUCGAAUACGACGAUCGGGACCGAGGAACUCAGCACGACCUUAGGGUUCGGGGCUUCGGCUCACGUUAACGUGCUUAGGAUGCUGGCAUAAUGGCCUUAAGCGACCCGUCUU